AGAGUUUGAUCCUGGCUCAGGAUGAACGCUAGCUACAGGCUUAACACAUGCAAGUCGAGGGGAAACGACAUCGAAAGCUUGCUUUUGAUGGGCGUCGACCGGCGCACGGGUGAGUAACGCGUAUCCAACCUGCCCACCACUUGGGGAUAACCUUGCGAAAGUAAGACUAAUACCCAAUGAUAUCUCUAGAAGACAUCUGAAAGAAGAUUAAAGAUUUAUCGGUGAUGGAUGGGGAUGCGUCUGAUUAGCUUGGUUGGCGGGGUAACGGCCCACCAAGGCUACGAUCGAGUAGGGGUUCUGAGAGGAAGGUCCCCCANAUUGGAACUGAGACACGGUCCAAACGUCCGUACGGGAGGCA
rnacentral:rRNA from 1 species